CUUCAGCGAACCCAGCCACAGCGGCUGCUCCGCGUCACGGCCCUGCCCGUACGUGGCCAGGAGCGCCUGCGCCUC
rnacentral:antisense_RNA from 1 species